AGAGUUUGAUCCUGGCUCAGGACGAACGCUGGCGGCGUGCUUAACACAUGCAAGUCGAACGAGAAUCUGUGGAAAGAGGAUUCGUCCAAUUGAAGCAGAGGACAGUGGCGGACGGGUGAGUAACGCGUGAGGAACCUGCCUUUCAGAGGGGGACAACAGUUGGAAACGACUGCUAAUACCGCAUGACACAUAGAGAUCGCAUGGUUUUUAUGUCAAAGAUUUAUCGCUGAAAGAUGGCCUCGCGUCUGAUUAGCUAGUUGGUGAGGUAACGGCCCACCAAGGCGACGAUCAGUAGCCGGACUGAGAGGUUGACCGGCCACAUUGGGACUGAGAUACGGCCCAGACUCCUACGGGAGGCAGCAGUGGGGAAUAUUGCACAAUGGGCGCAAGCCUGAUGCAGCGACGCCGCGUGCGGGAUGACGGCCUUCGGGUUGUAAACCGCUUUUGACUGGGAGCAAGCCCUUCGGGGUGAGUGUACCUUUCGAAUAAGCACCGGCUAACUACGUGCCAGCAGCCGCGGUAAUACGUAGGGUGCAAGCGUUAUCCGGAAUUAUUGGGCGUAAAGGGCUCGUAGGCGGUUCGUCGCGUCCGGUGUGAAAGUCCAUCGCUUAACGGUGGAUCCGCGCCGGGUACGGGCGGGCUUGAGUGCGGUAGGGGAGACUGGAAUUCCCGGUGUAACGGUGGAAUGUGUAGAUAUCGGGAAGAACACCAAUGGCGAAGGCAGGUCUCUGGGCCGUCACUGACGCUGAGGAGCGAAAGCGUGGGGAGCGAACAGGAUUAGAUACCCUGGUAGUCCACGCCGUAAACGGUGGAUGCUGGAUGUGGGGACCAUUCCACGGUCUCCGUGUCGGAGCCAACGCGUUAAGCAUCCCGCCUGGGGAGUACGGCCGCAAGGCUAAAACUCAAAGAAAUUGACGGGGGCCCGCACAAGCGGCGGAGCAUGCGGAUUAAUUCGAUGCAACGCGAAGAACCUUACCUGGGCUUGACAUGUUCCCGACAGCCCCAGAGAUGGGGCCUCCCUUCGGGGCGGGUUCACAGGUGGUGCAUGGUCGUCGUCAGCUCGUGUCGUGAGAUGUUGGGUUAAGUCCCGCAACGAGCGCAACCCU
rnacentral:rRNA from 1 species